rnacentral:rRNA from 1 species
CCUACGGGGGGCUGCAGUGGGGAAUAUUGCACAAUGGGCGAAACCCUGAUGCAGCAACGCCGCGUGAGCGAUGAAGUCCUUCGGGUCGUAAAGCUCUGUCCUCAAGGAAGAUAAUGACGGUACUUGAGGAGGAAGCCCCGGCUAACUACGUGCCAGCAGCCGCGGUAAUACGUAGGGGGCUAGCGUUAUCCGGAGUUACUGGGGGUAAAGGGUGCGUAGGCGGUGUCUAAGGUCAGAGGUGAAAGGCUACGGCUCAACCGUGGUAAGCCUUUGAAACUGGGGAACUAGAGUGCCGGAGAGGGAGGUGGAAUUCCUAGUGUAGCGGUGAAAUGCGUAGAUAUUAGGAGGAACACCAGUGGCGAAGGCGGCUCUCUGGACUGUAACUGACGCUGAGGCACGAAAGCGUGGGGAGCAAACAGGAUUAGAUACCCUAGUAGUC